rnacentral:rRNA from 1 species
GACGAACCGGCCAAACGUUAUUCGGAAUCACUGGGCUUAAAGGGUGCGUAGGCGGCGCGGAAAGUUGGGUGUGAAAUCCCUCGGCUCAACCGAGGAACUGCGCCCAAUACUACCGUGCUCGAGGGAGAUAGAGGUGAGCGGAACUUAGGGUGGAGCGGUGAAAUGCGUUGAUAUCCUAAGGAACACCGGUGGCGAAAGCGGCUCACUGGAUCUCUUCUGACGCUGAGGCACGACAGCUAGGGUAGCGAACGGG